AGUGAACGCUGGCGGUAGGCCUAACACAUGCAAGUCGAACGGCAGCACAGUAAGAGCUUGCUCUUACGGGUGGCGAGUGGCGGACGGGUGAGGAAUACAUCGGAAUCUACUUUUUCGUGGGGGAUAACGUAGGGAAACUUACGCUAAUACAGCAUACGACCUACGGGUGAAAGCAGGGGAUCUUCGGACCUUGCGCGAUUGAAUGAGCCGAUGUCGGAUUAGCUAGUUGGCGGGGUAAAGGCCCACCAAGGCGACGAUCCGUAGCUGGUCUGAGAGGAUGAUCAGCCACACUGGAACUGAGACACGGUCCAGACUCCUACGGGAGGCAGCAGUGGGGAAUAUUCGACAAUGGGCGAAAGCCUGAUCCAGCCAUACCGCGUGGGUGAAGAAGGUCUUCGGGUUGUAAAGCCCUUUUGUUAGGAAAGAAAAGCAGUAGGUUAAUACCCCGCUGUUCUGACGGUACCCAAAGAAUAAGCACCGGCUAACUUCGUG
rnacentral:rRNA from 1 species